ACUCAAAGGAAUAGACGGGGGCCCGCACAAGCGGUGGAGCAUGUGGUUCAAUUCGACGCAACGCGAAGAACCUUACCUGGGCUCGAAGCGCAGUGGAAUGGGGUGGAAACAUCCCCGCCCGCAAGGGCCGCUGCGGAGGUGCUGCAUGGCUGUCGUCAGCUCGUGUCGUGAGAUGUUGGGUUAAGUCCCGCAACGAGCGCAACCCUUAUCGUUAGUUGCCAUCGGGUCAAGCCGGGCACUCUAGCGAAACCGCCUCGGAUAACGGGGAGGAAGGUGGGGAUGACGUCAAGUCCUCAUGGCCUUUAUGUCCAGGGCUACACACGUGCUACAAUGCGCGGCACAAAGCGUCGCAAACCCGUGAGGGGGAGCUAAUCGCAAAAAGCCGUGCUCAGUUCGGAUUGGAGUCUGCAACCCGACUCCAUGAAGCUGGAAUCGCUAGUAAUCGCAGAUCAGAACGCUGCGGUGAAUACGUUCCCGGGCCUUGUACACACCGCCCGU
rnacentral:rRNA from 1 species